rnacentral:rRNA from 1 species
GACGAACGCUGGCGGCGUGCCUAAUACAUGCAAGUCGAGCGCAGGAAAUCGACGGAACCCUUCGGGGGGAAGUCGACGGAAUGAGCGGCGGACGGGUGAGUAACACGUAAAGAACCUGCCCUCAGGUCUGGGAUAACCACGAGAAAUCGGGGCUAAUACCGGAUGGGUCAUCGGACCGCAUGGUCCGAGGAUGAAAGGCGCUUCGGCGUCGCCUGGGGAUGGCUUUGCGGUGAAUUAGCUAGUCGGUGGGGUAAUGGCCCACCAAGGCGACGGUGAAUAGCCGACCUGGGAGGGUGAUCGGCCACACUGGGACGGAGACACGGCCCAGACUCCGACGGGAGGCAGCAGUAGGGAAUCUUCCACAAUGGACGAAAGUCUGAUGGAGCAACGCCGCGUGAACGAUGAAGGCCUUCGGGUCGUAAAGUUCUGUUGUAAGGGAAGUACAAGUGCCGCAGGCAAUGGCGGCACCUUGACGGUACCUUGCGAGAAAGCCACGGCUAACUACGUGCCAGCAGCCGCCGUAA